GGUCCUCAUUCCUGUCUACAACUUUGUUUUUUCCUACGUGCUGCCUCGCCUGGGCAGGCAAGCAACAGCAGCACAAAUUCCUUAAACUUUUUGUGACUCUUGUCUUCAGGCCCUUCCAGAUCCUCCUUCUUAGAGGGGCUCUAGGCACAGCCUGGUGCUGGUGACUGAAAUGCUCCUGAGCUUCCUCCCUGGAGAUGAGAAGUGAUCUAUCCUGGGAGGAUGUGCUGUUCUUUGAAUUGGGAGUGACAGCUCUGGUCACAUCCUGGGGCUGCCCACUACCAUGCUCCUGAGGUGUUUCUGUUGGGAAUGAGCUGUUGUCUCUGUUAUGAGUGGUGAUGUUCUCAUACAGGGCUCCUUCCCUGGCAAAGAGAUGUGCUGUGAGGAGGUGCUACUCUUACAGGAUUCCUCCCAGGAGAACUGAGGUGACAUAGCCUGUGGAGACAUGCUGUUCUUUGUCAGUGCCAGCUGUGGCCA